AGUGAACGCUGGCGGUAGGCCUAACACAUGCCAGUCGAACGGCAGCACAGGAGAGCUUGCUCUCUAGGUGGCGAGUGGCGGACGGGUGAGGAAUACAUCGGAAUCUGCCCAGUCGUGGGGGAUAACGUAGGGAAACUUACGCUAAUACCGCAUACGACCUUCGGGUGAAAGAGGGGGAUCGCAAGACCUCUCGCGAUUGGAUGAGCCGAUGUCGGAUUAGCUAGUUAGCGGGGUAAUGGCCCACCAAGGCGACGAUCCGUAGCUGGUCUGAGAGGAUGAUCAGCCACACUGGAACUGAGACACGGUCCAGACUCCUACGGGAGGCAGCAGUGGGGAAUAUUGGACAAUGGGCGCAAGCCUGAUCCAGCCAUACCGCGUGGGUGAAGAAGGCCUUCGGGUUGUAAAGCCCUUUUGUUGGGAAAGAAAUCGUUCAGGCUAAUACCCUGGGAGGAUGACGGUACCCAAAGAAUAAGCACCGGCUAACUUCGUG
rnacentral:rRNA from 1 species